rnacentral:misc_RNA from 1 species
GAAAUGCGAUAAUUAAUGUGAAUUGCAGAAUUCAGUGAAUCAUCGAGUCUUUGAACGCACAUUGCGCCCCCUGGUAUUCCGGGGGGCAUGCCUGUCCGAGCGUCAUUGCUGCCCCCAAGCACGGCUUGUGUGUUGGGCUUCCGUCCCUGGCAACGGGGACGGGCCCAAAAGGCAGUGGCGGCACCAUGUCUGGUCCUCGAGCGUAUGGGGCUUUGUCACCCGCUCCCGUAGGUCCAGCUGGCAGCUAGCCUCGCAACCAAUCUUUUUAACCAGGUUGACCUCGGAUCAGGUAGGGAUACCCGCUGAACUUAAGC